GAGUUUGAUCGUGGCUCAGGAUGAACGCUGGCGGCGUGCCUAAUACAUGCAAGUCGAGCGGACGGACGAGAAGCUUGCUUCUCUGAUGUUAGCGGCGGACGGGUGAGUAACACGUGGAUAACCUACCUAUAAGACUGGGAUAACUUCGGGAAACCGGAGCUAAUACCGGAUAAUAUUUUGAACCGCAUGGUUCAAAAGUAAAAGACGGUCUUGCUGUCACUUAUAGAUGGAUCCGCGCUGCAUUAGCUAGUUGGUAAGGUAACGGCUUACCAAGGCAACGAUGCAUAGCCGACCUGAGAGGGUGAUCGGCCACACUGGAACUGAGACACGGUCCAGACUCCUACGGGAGGCAGCAGUAGGGAAUCUUCCGCAAUGGGCGAAAGCCUGACGGAGCAACGCCGCGUGAGUGAUGAAGGUCUUCGGAUCGUAAAACUCUGUUAUUAGGAAGAACAUAUGUGUAAGUAACUGUGCACAUCUUGACGGUACCUAAUCAGAAAGCCACGGCUAACUACGUGCC
rnacentral:rRNA from 1 species